rnacentral:rRNA from 1 species
GACGAACGCUGGCGGCGUGCCUAAUACAUGCAAGUUGAGCGAUGAAGAUUGGUGCUUGCACCAAUUUGAAGAGCAGCGAACGGGUGAGUAACGCGUGGGGAAUCUGCCUUUGAGCGGGGGACAACAUUUGGAAGCGAAUGCUAAUACCGCAUAAUAACUUUAAACAUAAGUUUUAAGUUUGAAAGAUGCAAUUGCAUCACUCAAAGAUGAUCCCGCGUUGUACUAGCUAGUUGGUGAGGUAAAGGCUCACCAAGGCGAUGAUACAUAGCCGACCUGAGAGGGUGAUCGGCCACAUUGGGACUGAGACACGGCCCAAACUCCUACGGGAGGCAGCAGUAGGGAAUCUUCGGCAAUGGACGAAAGUCUGACUGAGCAACGCCGCGUGAGUGAAGAAGGUUUUCGGAUCGUAAAACUCUGUUGGUAGAGAAGAACGUUGGUGAGAGUGGAAAGCUCAUCAAGUGACGGUAACUACCCAGAAAGGGACGGCUAACUACGUG